UACGUAGGGUGCAAGCGUUGUUCGGAAUUACUGGGCGUAAAGCGCGUGUAGGCGGUUAUCCAAGUCAGGUGUGAAAGCCUUGAGCUCAACUCAAGAAAUGCACUUGGUACUGGGUGACUAGAGGACCGGAGAGGAUAGUGGAAUUCCCAGUGUAGUGGUGAAAUACGUAGAGAUUGGGAAGAACACCAGUGGCGAAGGCGGCUAUCUGGACGGUUUCUGACGCUAAGACGCGAAAGCGUGGGGAGCAAACAGG
rnacentral:rRNA from 1 species